rnacentral:misc_RNA from 1 species
UGAAAUGCGAAACGUAAUGCGAUUUGCAGCAUCUGUGAGUCAUCGAGUCUUUGAACGCACCUGGCACCCGAGGCUGACUCGGGUAUACCUGUUUGAGCAGUGGAAACAAUGCAAGUGAGCGUCAAGCGAGUCUUGUCGCUUGAAAGACGUGAGUGCUGGCUGUGCGGAAGACGCGGCCGCCAUGUGUCGAUGGGACUGUGGUCUCUGAUUGUGGCGGCGGCGGCUGGAAGUGCGGGAUCUGCAGCAUCAGGCGUGGGGUGAGGGGGAUUUGUUGGGUGGAGGGUGUGCGAGCAAGCGAUUGCUGGCGUCAACACCAGACACCCAACCCCACCACACCCGCCCACCAAACAUCACUCUCAAAUCAGGCAAGAUUACCCGCUGAACUUAA